AGGCAACCGCGGAGUAGGAUGCUCUGCGGGGCGCCCAGAGCCGGGGGCGCUUGAAGCAGCUUCGGGGACUGGGGCAACCGGGCAGUUUUCACCAUGCAUCAGUCCCUGACUCAGCAGCGGUCCAGCGACAUGUCCCUGCCCGAUUCCAUGGUUCCUGCCAUCAGUCUGCUCAGGUCUUCUCCGAUGAAUUUGCGGGAACAUCUCGAGUGGAGGGGGCAGGGAGAAGAUCGAACCCCCUAUAUAAUCUCCCUACUGCCCGCAGAAGACUCAGUGUCAACAAAACUCGUUCACCGGAGGGGCCCCAGAAAGUGUUAUCUCCUGGAUGGUGGAAAGAUCCGUAUCCUCAAUGGUUUUGCAUAUUCAGUAUAAGAAUUUGCUUUUUCAUUU
rnacentral:lncRNA from 1 species